rnacentral:SRP_RNA from 1 species
GCCGGGAACCGUGGUGCGUGCCUGUAGUCCCAGCUACUCGGGAGGCUGAGGUGGGAGGAUCGCUUGAGCCCAGGAGUUCUGGGCUGUAGUGCUCUAUCCUGAUCAGGUGUCUCCACUAAGUUCAGCAUCAAUAUAGUGACCUCCCAGGAGCGAGGGACCACCAGCUUGCCUAAGGAGGGGUGAACCUGCCGAGGUCGGAAAAGGAGCAGAUAAAAACUCCCGUGCUGAUCAGUAGUGGGAUCGCACCUGUGAAUAGCCACUGCAGUCCAGCCUGGGCAAGACCCCAUCUCU